UACGUAGGGUGCAAGCGUUGCCCGGAUUUAUUGGGCGUAAAGGGCGCGCAGGCGGCCACGCACGUCCGUUGUGAAAUCGCUCGGCUCAACUGGGCGGGGUCAGCGGAUACGGCGCGGCUGGAGUAAGCUAGGGGGCAAUGGAAUUCCCGGUGUAGUGGUGGAAUGCGUAGAUAUCGGGAGGAACACCAGUGGCGAAGGCGGUUGGCUGGAGCGUUGCUGACGCUGAGGCGCGAAAGCUAGGGGAGCGAACGGG
rnacentral:rRNA from 1 species